rnacentral:lncRNA from 1 species
AGAGGGUGAUAUUUUGCAAGUUAGUUUCCCCAGUUGCAAGAACCUUGGAAACUUUCUCCAUGUUUUGGUGCUGAAAAGGCAAACUCCCUAGAGGUUAAUUCUUUUUUAUUUCAUUUCUUUAUAGAAAUGGAGUGUUGUUAUGUUGCCCAGGCUAGUCGUGAACUCCUGGCCUCAAGUGUUGCUCCCACCUCAGUCUCCCAAAUUAUUGGGAUUACAGGCACGAGCCACUGAGCUCAGCUAAGAAGGUGAAUUCGUUACCUGAUUA